rnacentral:rRNA from 1 species
UGUCCGGAUUUAUUGGGCGUAAAGCGAGCGCAGGCGGUUUUUUAAGUCUGAUGUGAAAGCCUUCGGCUCAACCGAAGAAGUGCAUCGGAAACUGGGAAACUUGAGUGCAGAAGAGGACAGUGGAACUCCAUGUGUAGCGGUGAAAUGCGUAGAUAUAUGGAAGAACACCAGUGGCGAAGGCGGCUGUCUGGUCUGUAACUGACGCUGAGGCUCGAAAGUAUGGGUAGCAAACAGGAUUAGAUACCCUGGUAGUCCAUACCGUAAACGAUGAAUGCUAAGUGUUGGAGGGUUUCCGCCCUUCAGUGCUGCAGCUAACGCAUUAAGCAUUCCGCCUGGGGAGUACGGCCGCAAGGCUGAAACUCAAAGGAAUUGACGGGGGCCCGCACAAGCGGUGGAGCAUGUGGUUUAAUUCGAAGCUACGCGAAGAACCUUACCAGGUCUUGACAUACUAUGCAAAUCUAAGAGAUUAGACGUUCCCUUCGGGGACAUGGAUACAGGUGGUGCAUGGUUGUCGUCAGCUCGUGUCGUGAGAUGUUGGGUUAAGUCCCGCAACGAGCGCAACCCUUAUUAUCAGUUGCCAGCAUUAAGUUGGGCACUCUGGUGAGACUGCCGGUGACAAACCGGAGGAAGGUGGGGAUGACGUCAAAUCAUCAUGCCCCUUAUGACCUGGGCUACACACGUGCUACAAUGGAUGGUACAACGAGUUGCGAACUCGCGAGAGUAAGCUAAUCUCUUAAAGCCAUUCUCAGUUCGGAUUGUAGGCUGCAACUCGCCUACAUGAAGUCGGAAUCGCUAGUAAUCGCGGAUCAGCAUGCCGCGGUGAAUACGUUCCCGGGCCUUGUACACACCGCCCGUCACACCAUGAGAGUUUGUAACACCCAAAGUCGGUGGGGUAACCUUUUAGGAACCAGCCGCCUAAGGUGGGACAGAUGAUUAGGGUGAAGUCGUAACAAGGGUAAC